rnacentral:rRNA from 1 species
ACUCGUAGACUCCUACGGGAGGCAGCAGUGGGAAUCUUAGACAAUGGGCGCAAGCCUGAUCUAGCCAUGCCGCGUGAGUGAUGAAGGCCCUAGGGUCGUAAAGCUCUUUCGCCUUGUGAAGAUAAUGACUGUAGCAGGUAAAGAAACCCCCGGCUAACUCCGUGCCAGCAGCCGCGGUAAUACGGAGGGGGUUAGCGUUGUUCGGAAUUACUGGGCGUAAAGCGCGCGUAGGCGGAUUAGUCAGUCAGAGGUGAAAUCCCAGGGCUCAACCCUGGAACUGCCUUUGAUACUGCUAGUCUUGAGUUCGAGAGAGGUGAGUGGAAUUCCGAGUGUAGAGGUGAAAUUCGUAGAUAUUCGGAGGAACACCAGUGGCGAAGGCGGCUCACUGGCUCGAUACUGACGCUGAGGUGCGAAAGUGUGGGGAGCAAACAGGAUUAGAUACCCUGGUAG